UCACCAUAUCAAGCUUGGCUUGUUGUUGGGCCCUUUGUCACCUGGUGACAGGUCCAAAAGACAAUAACCGGUGUCAUACAGACUCUAUAUGCAACGAGCUUCUAACAGCACGCAUCUGGUGGUCGUGUGGCCCGGUUUUUACAUAAAUAAAUUUCUCAA
rnacentral:misc_RNA from 1 species